rnacentral:rRNA from 1 species
AAUACCGCAUAACAUGGUUUGAAGGCAUCUUCUUUCCAUCAAAGAUUUAUCGGAUAUGGAUGAGCUCGCGUCUGAUUAGCUUGUUGGUGAGGUAACGGCUCACCAAGGCGACGAUCAGUAGCCGACCUGAGAGGGUGAUCGGCCACAUUGGAACUGAGACACGGUCCAAACUCCUACGGGAGGCAGCAGUGGGGAAUAUUGGGCAAUGGAGGAAACUCUGACCCAGCAACGCCGCGUGAAUGAUGAAGGUCUUCGGAUUGUAAAGUUCUUUUCUAAGGGAAGAAGAAAGUGACGGUACCUUAGGAAUAAGCCUCGGCUAACUACGUGCCAGCAGCCGCGGUAAUACGUAGGAGGCAAGCGUUAUCCGGAAUGACUGGGCGUAAAGGGUGCGUAGGUGGUUUGACAAGUUGGUAGCGUAACUCCGGGGCUCAACCUCGGCACUACUACCAAAACUGUUGGACUUGAGUGCAGGAGGGGCAAAUGGAAUUCCUAGUGUAGCGGUGGAAUGCGUAGAUAUUAGGAGGAACACCAGUGGCGAAGGCGAUUUGCUGGACUGUAACUGACACUGAGGCACGAAAGCGUGGGGAGCAAACAGGAUUAGAUACCCUGGUAGUCCACGCUGUAAACGAUGAAUACUAGGUGUAGGGGGUAUCGACUCCCUCUGUGCCGCCGC